rnacentral:rRNA from 1 species
UACGUAGGGAGCAAGCGUUGUCCGGAAUCAUUGGGCGUAAAGGGCGCGUAGGCGGCCUUGCAAGUGACGGGUGAAAUCCCUCGGCUUAACCGAGGAACUGCCUGUCAAACUGCGUGGCUUGAGACCAGGAGAGGUGAGUGGAAUUCCCAGUGUAGCGGUGAAAUGCGUAGAUAUUGGGAGGAACACCAGUGGCGAAGGCGGCUCACUGGACUGGUACUGACGCUGAUGCGCGAAAGCGUGGGGAGCAAACAGG